CGCGUAGGCGGACCGAAAGUUGGGGGUGAAAUCCCGGGGCUCAACCCCGGAACUGCCUUCAAAACUGCCGGUCUAGAGUUCGAGAGAGGUGAGUGGAACUCCGAGUGUAGAGGUGAAAUUCGUAGAUAUUCGGAAGAACACCAGUGGCGAAGGCGACUCACUGGCUCGAUACUGACGCUGAGGUGCGAAAGUGUGGGGAGCAAACA
rnacentral:rRNA from 1 species